rnacentral:rRNA from 1 species
GAUGAACGCUGGCGGCGUGCCUAACACAUGCAAGUCGAACGAAGCGACUCAAAGUUUUCGGACAGAGAGUUGACUGAGUGGCGGACGGGUGAGUAACGCGUGGAUAACCUGCCUCAUACAGGGGGAUAACAGUUAGAAAUGACUGCUAAUACCGCAUAAGCGCACAGUACUGCAUGGUACAGUGUGAAAAACUCCGGUGGUAUGAGAUGGAUCCGCGUCUGAUUAGCUAGUUGGCGGGGUAACGGCCCACCAAGGCGACGAUCAGUAGCCGACCUGAGAGGGUGACCGGCCACAUUGGGACUGAGACACGGCCCAAACUCCUACGGGAGGCAGCAGUGGGGAAUAUUGCACAAUGGGCGAAAGCCUGAUGCAGCGACGCCGCGUGAGUGAAGAAGUAUUUCGGUAUGUAAAGCUCUAUCAGCAGGGAAGAAAAUGACGGUACCUGACUAAGAAGCCCCGGCUAACUACGUGCCAGCCGCCGCCGUAAUAC